UACGUCGGGUGCGAGCGUUGUCCGGAAUUACUGGGCGUAAAGAGCUCGUAGGUGGUUUGUCGCGUUGUUCGUGAAAACCGGGGGCUUAACCCUCGGCGUGCGGGCGAUACGGGCAGACUUGAGUACUGCAGGGGAGACUGGAAUUCCUGGUGUAGCGGUGGAAUGCGCAGAUAUCAGGAGGAACACCGGUGGCGAAGGCGGGUCUCUGGGCAGUAACUGACGCUGAGGAGCGAAAGCGUGGGGAGCGAACAGG
rnacentral:rRNA from 1 species